rnacentral:rRNA from 1 species
GAUGAACGCUGGCGGCGUGCCUAAUACAUGCAAGUCGAGCGAACAGACGAGGAGCUUGCUCCUCUGACGUUAGCGGCGGACGGGUGAGUAACACGUGGAUAACCUACCUAUAAGACUGGGAUAACUUCGGGAAACCGGAGCUAAUACCGGAUAAUAUAUUGAACCGCAUGGUUCAAUAGUGAAAGACGGUUUUGCUGUCACUUAUAGAUGGAUCCGCGCCGCAUUAGCUAGUUGGUAAGGUAACGGCUUACCAAGGCGACGAUGCGUAGCCGACCUGAGAGGGUGAUCGGCCACACUGGAACUGAGACACGGUCCAGACUCCUACGGGAAGCAGCAGUAGGGAAUCUUCCGCAAUGGGCGAAAGCCUGACGGAGCAACGCCGCGUGAGUGAUGAAGGUCUUCGGAUCGUAAAACUCUGUUAUUAGGGAAGAACAAAUGUGUAAGUAACUAUGCACGUCUUGACGGUACCUAAUCAGAAAGCCACGGCUAACUACGUG